rnacentral:lncRNA from 1 species
CUGUGUUUGGCUGUCAUUCAAGGUGGCUUUGGCUGCUUGCUUGUCAUUCUGAGUGUGGGGACACACAUGCUACCCUGGUUGUCAGCAGGUGAGAAGGGGGCUCUGAUCAGCUUCUCACUGGAUUUAGAGAAGAGCAGAUGCCCCUGAUCAGCUUCUCACUGGAUUUAGAGAAGAGCAGAUGUCCCAGACUUGUAGCUGCCAUUGCCUCUCUCUUUCGGAAAAUGAGAGUUGCUAAGAGGGCAAGCUUUCUUAGAUGAAGAAGCCAGACACAGAAGACACCAUUGGAAGUAUUUGAUACACACAUGUCUUUCUUUGAGACCAGCUAACAGGCUCAGGUGGGAACCAGCACAACUUCAACAGUAUCAGCGCCAUGUCUUCUGCCAUGUGGACCAGGGGAGUGAGAGACUUCAGCUCGCACAGCAGCACAAAUGGCUGAGUGUUGGGGAUACAAGUGGCUGAGCGGCGAGCAGAGAAGCAGCGACUGAGCUCUGGAGACUACAGAUAGACGCAGCUAACUUCAGACGGUG